rnacentral:rRNA from 1 species
UACGUAGGGGCCUAGCGUUGUCCGGAUUUAUUGGGCGUAAAGAGCUCGUAGGUGGUUCGGUAAGUCGGAUGUGAAAUCUCCAGGCUCAACCUGGAGGGGUCAUUCGAUACUGCCGUGACUAGAGUUCGGUAGGGGAGUGUGGAAUUCCUGGUGGAGCGGUGAAAUGCGCAGAUAUCAGGAGGAACACCCGUAGCGAAGGCGGCACUCUGGGCCGAUACUGACACUGAGGAGCGAAAGCCAGGGGAGCAAACGGG